rnacentral:rRNA from 1 species
UUUUAAACAGCCAGUAGAGCUAACCCGUCUCUGUUGCAAAAGAGUGGGAUGAUUUAAAAGUAGAGGUGAAAAGCCUACCGAACUUAGAGAUAGCUGGUUAUUCAAGAAAAGAAUUUUAGUUCAGCUCUAAAUCUCGUAUAUUAUACUGUAUAAAUAAAUUAGACUUAGAAGCCAAUCAAAUAAGGCACAGCUUAUUUGAUGAAGGAGACAACCUAUAAAAAAGGGUAAAACUUACCACAUUAACCAAGUAGGCCUGAAAGCAGCCACCUUUAAGAAAGCGUUAAAGCUCUAUUUUAAACUUACUACAAUCCCUAAGCACACCUUAAACCCUUUACCCCUACUGAAUGACUCUAUAACAAUAUAGAAGCCCUAAUGCUAAAACUAGUAACAAGAAAUUGUGUUCUCCAAAAUACAAGCAUAAACCAAAAUGGACAGACCAUUGGUAUUUAACACUAAUAAGCCUAAUGUAACAACAACACAAGAAAACCCUAUAACUUUUAAUGUUAACCUUACACAAGCGUAUUUCUGGAAAGAUUAAAAGAAAGGGAAGGAACUCGGCAAACUUUAACCCCGCCUGUUUACCAAAAACAUCGCCUCUUGAAUACUUAUAAGAGGUCUAGCCUGCCCAGUGAUAUAAUUAAACGGCCGCGGUACCCUGACCGUGCGAAGGUAGCAUAAUCACUUGUUCUCUAAAUAAGGACUCGUAUCAACGGCAUCACGAGGGUUACACUGUCUCCCCCUUCUAAUCAGUGAAACUGACUUUCCCGUGAAGAGGCGGGAAUCAUCAUACAAGACGAGAAGACCCCAUGGAGCUUUAAACCCAAAGGCAACCUUUAUUAACUCUACUUCAAAAUUUUUAAGGCCCUGCCUAUUGGUUUUAGGUUGGGGUGACCACGGAGUAAAACUUAGCCUCCACGACGAAUAGAUUUCUUCAUCUUAAUCUUAGAGCCGCCGCUCCAAGAAUCAAAAAAAUUUGACGCAACAUGAUCCGAUUUUUCGAUCAACGAACCAAGUUACCCUGGGGAUAACAGCGCAAUCCAUUUUAAGAGCCCCUAUCGACAAAUGGGUUUACGACCUCGAUGUUGGAUCAGGGUAUCCCAGUGGUGCAGCCGCUACUAAAGGUUUGUUUGUUCAACAAUUAAAACCCU